GGGGAUGUAAUGGUUUCGACGGGGGCACGAAUGUCUCUGUAAGCGAGUAGAAGGAUCUCGUGGACCUGCUUUAAAAAAACACGGGAAACGUUAAACGCAGAAGAUAAUUUUGCUUUAGCAGCGUAAGCUGCUUCGUUCUUGCCUGAUCCACCGGAGUUAGGACAAGGGCGUCAAAUAUCCGGUAAAACGAGCCUAGGAUAAGCUUUGCCCCUGGGAACGGAAUUAAUGAAGCUACCCAAUGGAUAGCCUGCUGCUGGGCGCUCCAACGGGGAAUUUAAAACAGUCAGCUGCACUCGGAGAAAGCAGUGAAGUUUGGCUUUCGGACACGGGUUCAACUCCCGUCAUCUCCACCA
rnacentral:tmRNA from 1 species